GUCUAUGGCCAUACCACCCUGAACAUGCUCAGUCUCGUCUGAUCUCGGAAGCUAAGCAGGGUCAGGCCUGGUUAGUACUUGGGUGGGAGAAAUAGAGCCUUAGCAAGGAGCCGUGGGCA
ensembl:rRNA 5S_rRNA 5S ribosomal RNA